rnacentral:pre_miRNA from 1 species
CUGGGCAUGGCUCUAUGUCAUGCUAUCUAGUUUCAUGACUAGAUCCAUACUCAGCU